rnacentral:rRNA from 1 species
UACGUAGGGGGCGAGCGUUGUCCGGAUUUAUUGGGCGUAAAGAGCGUGUAGGCGGCCAGGUAGGUCUGCUGUGAAAACUCGAGGCUCAACCUCGAGACGUCGGCGGAAACCAUCUGGCUAGAGUCCGGAAGAGGAGAGUGGAAUUCCUGGUGUAGCGGUGAAAUGCGCAGAUAUCAGGAAGAACACCCGUGGCGAAGGCGGCUCGCUACACGAAUAUUGACUCUGAGGCACGAAAGCGUGGGGAUCAAACAGG